rnacentral:misc_RNA from 1 species
UGAAAUGCAAUGUGUACUGUAUAAAAAUUUAAAAUUUAUCAUUAUCAAAAUCAUUCACUCCAACAAUACUUUAUUUUUACAUAAUCUCCUCUCUUGGUAGUACAAAAGACAAUUCACUCAAUCAAAUUAAUGUGAAAUUCGGACAUUUAAUAGGAAAUGUAGGCAGUGCAAAAGGUUAUUUGUAUAGAAGGACAUCAUUGAAAAGGUUCUUGUGAUGGCAACUCAUGACAAACCUAAUGAAACCAAAACCAAUAUCCAAAUGCUUGUAAUGGCAAAGUUGAAGUCUGAAGGAAUGCUAAAUCAACUUCCAAUUGAUUUUUUUUGGGUGUCCACCACAUCCCCAUCCCCAACACCCUCCCUGCUGAUUUCCACCUCCACCGCUGCCUCCUCCCCAACCCCAACCUCCACCUUGA